AACGAACGCUGGCGGCGCGCCUAAUACAUGCAAGUCGAACGAGAAGCUGUAGCAAUACAGUUGUACAGUGGCGAACGGGUGAGGAAUACAUGGGUGACCUACCCUCGAGUGGGGAAUAACCAGCCGAAAGGUUGGCUAAUACCGCGUACGUUUCCCAGUCUGCGGGUUGGGAAGGAAAGCGAUGCCGUGGGUAUCGCGCUCAAGGUUGGGCUCAUGUCCUAUCAGCUUGNGGUGGGGUAACGGCUCACCAAGGCAACGACGGGUAGCUGGUCUGAGAGGACGAUCAGCCACACUGGCACUGCGACACGGGCCAGACUCCUACGGGAGGCAGCAGUAAGGAAUAUUGCGCAAUGGGCGAAAGCCUGACGCAGCGACGCCGCGUGGGGGAUGAAGGUCUUCGGAUUGUAAACCCCGUUUCGGGAGGGAAGAUGGAACGAGCAAUCGUUCGGACGGUACCUCCAGAAGCAGCCACGGCUAACUUCGUGCCAGCCGCCGCCGUAAU
rnacentral:rRNA from 1 species